rnacentral:rRNA from 1 species
GACGAACGCUGGCGGCGUGCUUAACACAUGCAAGUCGAACGAUGAAGCCGGAGCUUGCUCUGGUGAAUUAGUGGCGAACGGGUGAGUAACACGUGAGUAACCUGCCCUUGACUCUGGGAUAACUGCGGGAAACUGUAGCUAAUACCGGAUACGACCCUCGGAGGCAUCUCCUGGGGGUGGAAAGAAUUUCGGUCAAGGAUGGACUCGCGGCCUAUCAGCUAGUUGGUGAGGUAAAGGCUCACCAAGGCGACGACGGGUAGCCGGCCUGAGAGGGUGACCGGCCACACUGGGACUGAGACACGGCCCAGACUCCUACGGGAGGCAGCAGUGGGGAAUAUUGCACAAUGGGCGCAAGCCUGAUGCAGCAACGCCGCGUGAGGGAUGAAGGCCUUAGGGUUGUAAAGCUCUUUCGUCCGGGACGAUAAUGACGGUACCGGAAGAAGAAGCCCCGGCUAACUUCGUGCCAGCCGCCGCAGUAA